UACGAAGGGGGCGAGCGUUGUUCGGAAUUACUGGGCGUAAAGAGCGCGCAGGCGGUCGUUCAAGUCUGCUGUGAAAGCCCCGGGCUCAACCUGGGAAUGGCAGUGGAUACUGGACAGCUAGAGUGCGGUAGAGGGUAGUGGAAUUCCCGGUGUAGCAGUGAAAUGCGUAGAGAUCGGGAGGAACACCAGUGGCGAAGGCGGCUACCUGGACCAGCACUGACACUGAAGCACGAAAGCGUGGGGAGCAAACAGG
rnacentral:rRNA from 1 species